rnacentral:rRNA from 1 species
AGUGAACGCUGGCGGCAGGCCUAACACAUGCAAGUCGAGCGGCAGCGCGGGGCAACCUGGCGGCGAGCGGCGGACGGGUGAGGAAUGCGUCGGAAUCUGCCUUUUUGUGGGGGAUAACGUAGGGAAACGAAUGCUAAUACCCCAUAUGCUUUCGAGUGAAAUGGAUUUUAUUCCGCCUAGAGAGAAGCUCGCGGCUGAUUAGCUUGUUGGUAAGGUAAGAGCUUACCAAGGCGACGAUCAGUAUCUGGUUUGAGAGGACGAUCAGACACACUGGAACUGAGACACGGCCCAGACUCCUACGGGAGGCAGCAGUGGGGGAAAGUCCUUGCACAAUAGA